AAGUCGUAACAAGGUUUCCGUAGGUGAACCUGCGGAAGGAUCAUUAUUGAAAUAAACCUGAUGGGUUGUUGCUGGUUCUCUAGGGAGCAUGUGCACACCUUGUCAUCUUUAUAUCUCCACCUGUGCACCUUUUGUAGGCCUUCCAGGUCUAUGUUGCUUUUCCAUUUACCCCAAUGUAUGUUAAUAGAAUGUUGUGCAUAUAAAAUCUAUACAACUUUCAGCAACGGAUCUCUUGGCUCUCGCAUCGAUGAAGAACGCAGCGAAAUGCGAUAAGUAAUGUGAAUUGCAGAAUUCAGUGAAUCAUCGAAUCUUUGAACGCACCUUGCGCUCCUUGGUAUUCCGAGGAGCAUGCCUGUUUGAGUGUCAUUAAUAUAUAUCAACCUUCUCAUUUUUGAGUGGUUUGGAUGUGGGGGUUUGCUGGCCUCUUAAAUGAGUUCAGCUCCUCUGAAAUGCAUUAGCAGAACAACCCUGUUCAUUGGCGUGAUAACUAUCUACGCUAUUGAAUGUGAGGGACGGUUCAGCUUUCUAACAGUCCUUGGACAACUUAUCAUUUAUGUGACCUCAAAUCAGGUAGGACUACCCGCUGAACUUAA
rnacentral:rRNA from 1 species